AUGGAGGCAAGGGGCCUUUGGGUUUCCAGCGUACAUCUGUCGUUUGAUUGAGGCCGCCCCUGGGAAGGGCUGAAACCUUGGGGACCAAAUGACUCUGGAGGGAGAAGCCAAGGCAGGGGAAAGAGAUUGAACAGAGAAGACAGACAGAUGGAGCUCUUAGAACUUGAAGAGACUUAGAGAACUUCAGUCCAAUCCCACAACCCAAUAUCGGACUCCGCCCAAAAGCAAGCGGGAAGUGGCUCGCUGCACCUUCCCUGGAGGGUGGAGAAGUUCUUCCUUAUUGUCAGCUAACAUCAGCCUUCCUGCUCUAGAAACAAGGUGUUCGGAGCUGGCCACAGCACGUCAGAUGUGGCAGACCAGCCUGGAACACAUAUACGUCUAGGCACGAAGGGCACUUCUUGCACACGGUCCAAGACAGCGAUCACCUGCCUUUGCCAGUACUAUGCUGGGUGCUGGGCAUAUGAAGACAGGUCACAGCUGCCUCUGCACUGAGCUGUGUAUGUGCGUGUAUCAGAUUCAAGAGGGUGGCAAGAGAUGAGUUAAAGAUCUUCUAGCUAAACCUCCCACUCGCCUUCAGCUCCAGGGGCGAGCCUGCUAACCUAGGAGAGCCGCCUGCUCUCAGAAACUGGAGUCCUUGGGGGGCGCUGUUGGCACCAUGCUAUGGCCCACUCCCUCCCUUCUCUCCCCAGAAUAACCACUGCUCAACAAGUUUGAGUCCUCGGGCAGUCUUCUCUGUCUGAAAACUGGAGAAAAGGAAGGCUCUAUAUCAAAACUCUCAGGGACCGAGGAAGGAAGUUAAAUAAACCCAAGAGUCCUGAAACAACCUGACAUUGGAGAAUCAACUAAUAGAAGCUACAGCACCGGGUUGAGCAAAUAAAACCUGCUCCUGCCUCCACAGAGCCUAGAAUGGGACAUCUUGAAAGAAUCCAGAGGCUGUUAGCCAUUUGAACCCUCAGAGAGAAAGCUCCAAGCACAGUGCUGCAGGCUGCAGUUCUCAGUUGCUGUUCCCUCCUUUCACAGGGUGAGGGAAAGCCGUGGUUGAUAAGCAGAUGGCCCAGCUGACCCUCAUCAGCCCGCGAACACUGCACGCAAAAAGAAUUAAUAAAUCAAAUCUAAGAGAGUUAAAAAGGGAGAUGGUUACAUCUUACCAAUAAGUUCAUUAUUUUCCACAUUGGCUCAGCUCUGGACUAUGUCAAAGAAAUGGAUGGUGUUAUCUAACGUAGCCCAGACCACCAGAAGGGGCAGCAUGGGCAGACCACACGCGAUCACGCGUGCACAUAAGCACGGAGGAUUCGGAAAGACCAAGAAAGUAAUCUAAGUAACAGAGGCCCAAGAUCUGGCGAUUCCAAAAGAGCAGUCUUGACUGUCUUCUCUGAGCUUUACAGAGUCACGUUUGCCCUGAUUACCCUGCGGAAACAGGAGGAACUCGUCUGGUCGGUUUCACCCAUUUGUUGGCAUUUCCCUGUUGCCAAAUAUAGGCCCCAGGAAUUGUGUUUAAUCACUCACUCUCUUGCCUUUUUGCAGCUCUCUCAAUUUGGUGCCAUGGAAUAGAGGAAAGUAACCCCUUUUACAGUUUAAUAAGAGGCACCUAUAAAAUCAGCUGUAACGGAUCCAAUCUGGUUGGGCCAGGGGCUGGGCAAGGCCAAAAAGAUUCAAAGGCGAACUGCCCUCCACCCACAUAAUUCAAAAUAAAAUUAAGCUAUAAAAUAAUGUUGGAGAGUUAAAAAUAUUCUAUUUCUGGUUGUUUGGGGUGGGGUUUUUUUGGUAAGAAAGGUUGGCCCUGAGCUAACAUCUGUUGCCAAUCUUCCUUUUUUUUCUCAAGAAAGAUUGAUGCUGAGCUAAUAUCUGUGCCAAUCUUCCUCUGUUUUGUAUGUGGGACGCUGCCACAGCAUGGCUUGAUGAGCGGUGUGUAGGUCCAUGCCUGGGAUCUGAACCUGCAAACCCCAGGCCACCAAAGCAGAGCACGCUAACUUAACCACUACACCCCUGCGCUAGCC
ensembl:lncRNA